rnacentral:lncRNA from 1 species
AGUCACAGUGGGCUCCCCGUGCCAGAUGCCUGUGGGUCCAUCAUGGUGACAAAAGCUGAAUUUCCCCCUCUUUGGGGGCGAAAGGGAGCAGGGAAGGGAGCGCGCAGCCUCCCCCCUCCCCUCCCCGCCCUCCGCGCUGCAUAGAUCUCCUUUUCUCCAAGUGUUUCCUCUUUAAUUAUGACCUGUUCCCCCUCCCUCUCNNNNNNNNCCCGCCCGCCGUGGGAGGAGCCCGCCGGAGGAAGCCGUGCGCCGGGGCUGCACAGAAUGGAUCUGCUCGGAGCGGGGACGUCGCUGAGCAGCCCGGCUUCCCGCGGCGGCUAGGAGCCGGCCACUGGCCUGGGCGGGCUGCGGGGACCGGGCCCCGGGAGCACCGAGGCGCGACCCCGGGAGCAUCGCGGCCGAGGCUGAGCGCGGCCAGCCCCCGGGAGGACAAACUCACGGCCACCCCAAGUUGCGCCGCCGGCCCCCCCUCGCUGCGCUGAGGAAUGAGACCUCUCCAGCUCGAUCUGCUCUUCGUGUGCUUCUUCCUUUUCAGUCAAGAGCUGGGCCUUGGAAGCCUGUUUCUUACAGAGGACGCUACACCUGUGUGAGGGGCCACGGGAGCCAGAGGGCCUGCUCUUCCCUUGGGUCCCCGACAGGCAGGAGCAGGUGCAGUGUUUGGGGAUGCGAGACCCUGCGAGCGCUGCAGUUCCCGCAGCAGCCUGAUGGUGGCAGCAGCAGCGCUUGCAAAGCCUGAGCGUGAGCCGAGCUAGGCAGCCUCCUCCUCCUCCUCCUC